rnacentral:lncRNA from 1 species
AUUCACUUACCUGCUCUGAUAAAUUCUGCUGCCAUCCUGAGAGCUGCACCACGGAGAGGCCCACAUGGCAAGGAACUGAGGGCUACCUUUACUGUAGCCUGUGAGAGACCAUGGGCCAAGGGAUCCAGGACAUCUUCUACAGUAGUGGUAAUCCUCCAUAUUUCAGCUGACACCUCUAUGUGAGCUGUGGUCAUCUUAGUGUCGAGAGAGUCCCCUCUGCCCACAUGAAAACCAGUCAGAGACGAGCUGUUUUGAAUCAAGUCUCCUGCUCUUGUAGACUUUUAGUUUGACCUUGGAAUGUUCAAGCAGACCUCUGCAUUUAAUCCAAGAUUGAGGCAAGUUUUCUCUCUGCCUAGGUUUAUCUUGUCUGUCUGUGAACAAAAGAGAGGAUAGCAAAGUACCUUGUUUGGAUUUGUCUAUAAAUGUGACCUUCCUAAACUGGCUAA